UACGAAGGGGGCUAGCGUUGCUCGGAAUCACUGGGCGUAAAGCGCAUGUAGGCGGAUCGUUAAGUCGGGGGUGAAAUCCUGGAGCUCAACUCCAGAACUGCCUUCGAUACUGGCGAUCUUGAGUCCGGGAGAGGUGAGUGGAACUGCGAGUGUAGAGGUGAAAUUCGUAAGAUAUUCGCAAGAACACCAGUGGCGAAGGCGGCUCACUGGCCCGGUACUGACGCUGAGGUGCGAAAGCGUGGG
rnacentral:rRNA from 1 species